GACGAACGCUGGAGGCGUGCUUAACACAUGCAAGUCGAACGAUGAAAUGGAGCUUGCUCCAUGGAUUAGUGGCGAACGGGUGAGUAACACGUGCAUAACCUGCCCUUAAUUUUGGAAUAACCCAGGGAAACCUGGGCUAAUACCGGAUAAGUAAACCUGUGGCAUCACAUGGUUUUGGAAAGGCUUUCGGUUAAGGAUGGAUUCGCGGCCUAUCAGCUUGUUGGUGAGGUAAUGGCUCACCAAGGCGACGACGGGUAGCCGGCCUGAGAGGGUGAACGGCCACACUGGGACUGAGACACGGCCCGGACUCCUACGGGAGGCAGCAGUGGGGAAUAUUGCGCAAUGGACGAAAGUCUGACGCAGCGACGCCUCGUGAGGGACGAAGGUCUUCGGAUUGUAAACCUCUUUCAGCAGGGACGAAGCGAAAGUGACGGUACCUGCAGAAGAAGCACCGGCUAACUAUGUGCCAGCCGCCGCGGUAA
rnacentral:rRNA from 1 species